rnacentral:lncRNA from 1 species
UCCAUUACAAGUCUGACUUUUGGGAAGGAAUUCACUGCUGCAAUUGAGGCGAAACAGGUGGCUGCACAAGAAGCCGAGAGAGCUAAAUUUAUUGUGGAAAAAGCUGAACAGGACAAGAAAAGUGCUGUUAUCCGAGCACAGGUGAGAUACAUAAAAUGGAACUAAACAAUCUGGCCUUGGUAGUUUUUCUAUAAAAUUUGAUGAUAAAAUGCAGCUAAAUGGGAGUAUUAGGUAGAUCUGAUAUCUUUACAGCGUUGAAGAUAAUCUGAAGCAUAUUUGGAUGUCAGUUUUCUGCUGUUCUCAGAAAAUUCUGAUAUUUGGCUUAAUAUGAUAAAGUUGAUUGAUCUGUUUUUUCUACUACAGUAAUUUAUUUGUUUUUUCUGGUUUACAGGGAGAAGCCAAGAGUGCCCAACUCAUUGGUCAAGCAAUUGCAAAGAACCCAGCAUUCAUAACAUUGAGGAAAAUCGAAGCUUCUAGAGAAAUUGCACAGACCAUUGCAAAUUCAGCCAACAAAGUCUUCUUGAACUCAAAGGAUCUAUUGCUGAACCUUCAGGAGAUGAAUCUUGAAUCCCACCCAAAGUAACUUAGUUACUUCAAUUUCAUAGUUUUUCAAUAAAUCAAUUGUGGGAACAUUAAAUACAACACAGUCUGUCUUCUUUUGUUUUGGAAGGAUUUUAUUUUGUCCUAAGGAUUAGUGGUCAAACAUCAUAUCAGUUGGAUCUAGGGCUGUUUAGUUGAGGUAGAGAAGAGCUAUUGGAUAUAUGUUAGUACUGCAAUUUUAUAUUUUAUUCAAGUUAAUACCUUACGUAAUGGACCUCUAAUGGACCUGUUGGAUGUGGAUUUAUAUAAUUUGGAUUAAGGUCGAGUUGUAGAAUGAUAGUAAUCCAAUGCUGUUUUGGGUUUGUUUUAUGUAAUUUGCUUCAACUAUUUGACGCCGCCAAAUAAACCCGAAACAGCAUAGGAUGGUUUCUGGUUUGGUUGGCCACCCCUAGGCUAGACCUGUUUGCCCUUGUUAAACCAGUUUGAAUUGCUUCUACUAAAAUUAUCACCCGAAAUAUCUGGUUGAGGCUACCAGAAUAUUGUGGUGUUACGCGUUAUGCUGGUUGUGGCUACCAGUGUCAACUCCUGGGUGGCUUGCAAGUUGUACGGUAUUAUUGACACCCGAAGUGAAGUCCCACAAUUUGUUUUAAGAUUAAUUUGGAUAUUGUGUGAUAAGUUGUAAUUUCAAGUUUUGUGGUAUUGUUGAAUUUCUUAAUUUUAAUUUUAAUUUCAUAAAAGAAAUAUUUACUGAUGGUUGAUUUGAAGUGUGUGAAUGGAAUACCUUCAAUUAUGUUUCAGUCAUGUUUUCAGAUAGUGUUCAUCGGUUUAUUGAGAGGAAGAUGGCACUGAUAGUUGUGAUCAAAUUAUUAGGGAGAAAAAUAGGAUUCAAUACCUUAAUAAGGUGUCUUUAUUGUGUAACAUCAAAUUAUUUCUAUCUUGUCUAGUUCUAGGAUAAGGAUGAUUUUGACAAAGUUUUAUUGGGUGGUCCAUGGGUGGUCUUUGGACAUUAUUUGUCACCGAAAACUUGCUUGACAACCAAUAGAGAAUUGGAUACUCAGGUAGUUUGGAUUUGUUUACUUGAGUUAUUCGAGGGCUAUUACUCUGAUUUUUUGCUUUGAGCUAUUGGAAGAAUGAUUGGACCUGUGAUUCGUAUCGAUGCUUGUAUUGAUGCGGCAGUUAGGGAGCGGUUUACUAGAUUGGUUGUAAGUAUGGAUUUGAAAAAAAACCUAUGAUUCCAAAAAUUAGAAUCAAUGGUAGAUUACAAAGAGUUGAGUAUGAAAUGUUACCUAACAUUUGUUUUACGUGCGGGCUUUUUGGUCAUAGCUCGGCGUUGUGUUCCGAAGCAAAUCGACCACAACGGGGAUGGGGCUGUUCAAGGCGGUUCAGAGGUUGAGAAAUCAAGAUUACAGGCUAAGUGAUGCUGGUUGAACAACGGUAGAGGGGGAAACCACGGAGUUUAUCGGAGGUGAAGGGUGUCGAUAAUAGUGGUCUUUCAGGUGGAUCUAGAUUCACUAUGUGAGAGGCCAAUGGGGGGUGAGACAAGGGUCGAUAAUCACACAGAGAGUGUCAAUCUUGAUGGGGUUGUUGGUUUGGAGGCAAGUGCGUCGGUGAUUUUGGUUAGGAAAGGGUCAACUUUAGAUGAAAGGAAACUUGCGGGAUCUUCACUAAGGAAGGAGGGUGUUGUGGUUGAUAGGGAUUUUGGGGUUAGAAAAAAAAGAUGUUAGGGUUAAAGGUAAAGGGGUUAGUGUGAGCCUUGGGCCUAAGGCAAGUGGGAGGGUCUUAAAGCCCAACAAUAGUGGUGCUGGGUUUUCUUCAAAGAAGGCUGUUAGUGGGUUUGUUGUUGGAGAUUUGUUGGGCUGUGUUGGUAUGGAUGGAAGUUUGGGUCAAGAGAAUGUCAAAGUUGUUUCUUUAAAGCCUGGACAAGUCAAAGCAUAUGGUCUUUCGAACUGUUGAGGUUGGUUAGCAUGGUGCAGGGUCUGGGAAGGAAAAUAUAUUGUUCAAGUUUGGAGCCAUAGGGAAAGAAAUAAUGGGGGAAGGAUCGAAUGUUGUAUUAGAAGAUAUUCUUUAAAGGAGGAAACCUUCUGAUGGUAAAAUGGGUUAUAUUGAGCAACCUACUAUGGAGUUAUCGACGACCAUGGAGGGAAUUGUGGGUAAUUUAAAUCAGGCCCUGGAGCAAUUGAUUGUGGAGACUUUUUCAUUGACGGUGGUUGAGGGUAUGGCAGCAAACUCUGAUCGAGAAGUUGCAAUAAGCUGUUAGUGUUCUUGGAUUGUGGCUUUCUGUUUAGGUUCUUAUUUCAAGUGUUUAUGGAUUUAAAUUAAUUUUUUUGUUUACUUCCAAGUAUAGGCAUAAGUUUAGUCAUGAUAUAUUUUGUUUAUUUGAAACCUGGGUCAGUGGUUUUCGUGCUGAUGAAAUUAUUAGCAGAACGGUGUAUUCAAAUUCUUGUAGAAUUGGGACAAAUGGUUUUUCUGGUGGAAUUUGAGUACUCUAGAGUGAUAAUGUUAUUGUUAAUAUUUUGGGAUUACAUUCUCAGGUUGUGCACGUGAAGAUUAAUAAAGGCCAGAGUUCGUCAGGGUUUCUCUUUUCGGCUGUGAAUGCUAAUUCCCAUAGGAUAACAAGGUGUCUAUUGUGGGAUUAUUUAAAUUCUGUGGCUGAUUCAAUUGAUGAGCCUUGGCUUAUUGCUAGUGGUUUUAAUUCGAUUUUGGACGUGUUUGAAAGAAUAGGUUGCGCGGCUACAUUUAGGAAUGGAUGUGCCUAUUUUCAGG